rnacentral:rRNA from 1 species
AUUGAACGCUGGCGGCAUGCCUUACACAUGCAAGUCGAACGGCAGCACGGGUGCUUGCACCUGGUGGCGAGUGGCGAACGGGUGAGUAAUAUAUCGGAACGUACCUUAUUGUGGGGGAUAACGCAGCGAAAGCUGUGCUAAUACCGCAUAAUCCCUAAGGGGGAAAGCGGGGGACCGUAAGGCCUCGCGCAAUUAGAGCGGCCGAUACCUGAUUAGGUAGUUGGUGAGGUAAAGGCUCACCAAGGCAACGAUCAGUAGCUGGUCUGAGAGGACGAUCAGCCCCACUGGGACAGAGACACGGCCCAGGCUCCUACGGGAGGCAGCAGGGGGGAAUUUUGGGCAAUGGGGGCAACCCUGAUCCAGCAAUGCCGCGUGAGUGAAGAAGGCCUUCGGGUUGUAAAGCUCUUUUGUCAGGGAAGAAACAGCAGCUCUAACACAGUAUGCGAAUGACGGUACCUGAAGAAUAAGCACCGGCUAACUACGUGCCAGCCGCCGCCGUAA